rnacentral:rRNA from 1 species
UUCCUACGGGAGGCAGCAGUGAGGAAUAUUGGUCAAUGGGCGAGAGCCUGAACCAGCCAAGUCGCGUGAAGGAUGACGGCCCUACGGGUUGUAAACUUCUUUUGUCAGGGAGCAAUUGAGUCCACGUGUGGGCUUAGCGAGAGUACCUGAAGAAAAAGCAUCGGCUAACUCCGUGCCAGCAGCCGCGGUAAUACGGAGGAUGCGAGCGUUAUCCGGAUUUAUUGGGUUUAAAGGGUGCGUAGGCGGGCUUUUAAGUCAGCGGUAAAAAUUCGGGGCUCAACCCCGUCCGGCCGUUGAAACUGGGG